rnacentral:rRNA from 1 species
UACAGAGGUCUCAAGCGUUGUUCGGAUUCAUUGGGCUUAAAGGGUGCGUAGGCGGCUUGUACAGUCAGACGUGAAAUUCCUGGGCUCAACCUGGGGGCUGCGUUUGAUACGUGCGGGCUUGAGUUCGGAAGAGGGUCGUGGAAUUCCCAGUGUAGAGGUGAAAUUCGUAGAUAUUGGGAAGAACACCGGUGGCGAAGGCGGCGACCUGGUCCGAUACUGACGCUGAGGCGCGAAAGCGUGGGGAGCAAACAGG